rnacentral:rRNA from 1 species
UACGUAGGGUGCGAGCGUUGUCCGGAAUUAUUGGGCGUAAAGAGCUUGUAGGCGGUUUGUCGCGUCUGCCGUGAAAUUUCGAGGCUCAACCUCGAACUUGCGGUGGGUACGGGCAGACUAGAGUGCGGUAGGGGAGACUGGAAUUCCUGGUGUAGCGGUGAAAUGCGCAGAUAUCAGGAGGAACACCGGUGGCGAAGGCGGGUCUCUGGGCCGUAACUGACGCUGAGGAGCGAAAGCAUGGGGAGCGAACAGG